rnacentral:rRNA from 1 species
UUUUAUUUGAGAGUUUGAUCCUGGCUCAGGAUGAACGCUGGCGGCGUGCCUAACACAUGCAAGUUGAGCGAUUUACUUCGGUAAAGAGCGGCGGACGGGUGAGUAACGCGUGGGUAACCUACCCUGUACACACGGAUAACAUACCGAAAGGUAUGCUAAUACGGGAUAAUAUAUUUGAGAGGCAUCUCUUGAAUAUCAAAGGUGAGCCAGUACAGGAUGGACCCGCGUCUGAUUAGCUAGUUGGUAAGGUAACGGCUUACCAAGGCGACGAUCAGUAGCCGACCUGAGAGGGUGAUCGGCCACAUUGGAACUGAGACACGGUCCAAACUCCUACGGUAGGCAGCAGUGGGGAAUAUUGCACAAU